CCUCACGUUGACCUCUCCUGACCCCUGAUCGGUGGACAGGAAAUGACAGCGGAAGCAGUUCAAAGCGUUGGGCAGGAGCUGCGAGGCAUGAGGGUGGAGAGCGAGGAAGAUGGCAGAUUUUACCAAAGGCAAGUGGAGCUUAAGCAAAGGGUUAGGAACCAAAAUGGAGGACGCACUGUACCUUUCCUCACCAAGUAGUAGAGCGGGACAUCAGAGGACAUGACAGCACAUUUAUAGAAAGAGCCACAAAGCUUGUGUGAUAUUUGGCACCCGGUGUGUAAGAGGGAGCACAGGGUGAGACGAGAGAGAGAGAGAGAGAGAGAGAGAGAGAGAGAGAGCGCAGUGGAGAGUUUAAAAUGUUGUGACAGAAAGGAAGAACUUUUUUUUCUUUCACAGGCUGCAUCACUGACAGAUUUUGAAACUUAUUUUGUUGUUGAA